UUAAAUUAUACUCACUCUGUGUGGAUUUGGUCAAAUGUGCAAUUUGGGCUUACCUUUCCGUAGUGUGAUUCUGGGCUGUUCCUAGAGUCACUUGGGAGAAUGAAUGCAUCAAACUAAGAAAUCUGCAGACUACUAGACAAUGAGGCAUGAAGAAAAAUGACAAAUCAUCCAGGAAAAAAAUACCCUAAGAAAAAGAAUGAUUCAGCCUAUUAGUAUAUCACAUCUCCAAAAGGAUACAAUUUUAUAAACCUUCCCAAAUGAUUGUGUUUGCUUUUCUCCACAGAUUUAUAAUGCAAAUGGCCUUUUUGUACUCCCAGUCCAAUUAAAAAUUAAAGCUGGCUUUGGAGUUGGA